GUAAUGUCUGGGAAACUGCCUGAUGGAGGGGGAUAACUACUGGAAACGGUGGCUAAUACCGCAUAACGUCGCAAGACCAAAGAGGGGGACCUUCGGGCCUCUUGCCAUCAGAUGUGCCCAGAUGGGAUUAGCUUGUUGGUGAGGUAACGGCUCACCAAGGCGACGAUCCCUAGCUGGUCUGAGAGGAUGACCAGCCACACUGGAACUGAGACACGGUCCAGACUCCUACGGGAGGCAGCAGUGGGGAAUAUUGCACAAUGGGCGCAAGCCUGAUGCAGCCAUGCCGCGUGUAUGAAGAAGGCCUUCGGGUUGUAAAGUACUUUCAGCGGGGAGGAAGGUGUUGUGGUUAAUAACCGCAGCAAUUGACGUUACCCGCAGAAGAAGCACCGGCUAACUCCGUGCCAGCAGCCGCGGUAAUACGGAGGGUGCAAGCGUUAAUCGGAAUUAC
rnacentral:rRNA from 1 species